rnacentral:rRNA from 1 species
AUGAGAGACUGUGGACGGCUCAGUAUAUCAGUUAUAAUCUGCUCAAUUGUAAAUGUUAUUGGAUAACCGUGGGAAAUCUAGAGCUAAUACAUAUGGGGCCUGGGUGUACUUGUAUAUCCAGUUGUAUUUAUUAGCAAAGCCAACUGUGUGAGCAAUCAUGCAUGGUGAGUCUAGAUAACUGAGCAGAUCGUAUGGCCUUGAGCUGACGACGUUUUGAAUGAAUUUCUGCCCUAUCAACUAUGUUGGCAGUGUAGUGGACUGCCAAGGUUGUUACGGGUAACGGGGAAUCAGGGUUCGAUUCCGGAGAGGGAGCCUGAGAAACGGCUACCACAUCCAAGGAAGGCAGCAGGCGCGCAAAUUACCCAAUACAGACAAUGUGAGGUGGUGACGAAAAGUACCGGAUGGCGACAUUGUUGCCAGUCUGGAAUGAAAACAAUUUAAGCAAUUGAAUUGAGUAACGACUGGAGGGCAAGUCUGGUGCCAGCAGCCGCGGUAAUUCCAGCUCCAGUAGCGUAUCUCAAAGUUGCUGCGCUUAAAACGCUCGUAGUUGGAUCACUCGCUGUGCACUGAUGUAUUCUACAUUAGCGAUUUGACGACACACCGGUGGCAACAUUGGUCACUGUUGGCAUAGGCUAAGACGAAUAAUUAAGUCAGUGUACAGUAAUUGCAUGUGAGGACGAUUAUUGACCUUGAGUGUGUUGAUUGUUGUAUCUCACGGGGCGUGCCUUGAGUAAAUCAGAGUGCUUAAAGCAGGCGAAAGCUUGAAUGUUAUUAGCAUGGAACGAACAAUCGUGUAUGGUGUGUGCUGGUAUCGACAAGGGCUUGCUCUUCGUCGCAGCAUACGACACCGACUACCAAUUACGGAUGUUGGUUCCGUAUUGGGGUACUGAUUAAGAGGAGCGGUUGGGGGCAUUAGUAUUUGACAGCGAGAGGUGAAAUUCUUAGACCUGUCAAGGACUAACAAAUGCGAAGGCAUCUGUCCAGACCGUAUCCAUUGAUCAAGAACGAAAGAGAGAGUUUCGAAUACGAUCAGAUACCGUAGUAGUUCUCUCUGUAAACUAUGCCGACCCGGGAUCAGUUUGGAGCUAUUAUUCCAUGCUCGGAGUUGGUCCCCCUGGGAAACCUAAAGUUUUUCGGUUGCGGGGGGAGUAUGGUCGCAAGGCUGAAACUUAAAGGAAUUGACGGAAGGGCACCACCAGGGGUGGAGCCUGCGGCUUAAUUUGACUCAACACGGGAAAACUUACCUGAUCAAGACAUCAGGAGGAUAGACAGACUAAUGCUCUUUCUUGAUUUGAUGAUUGGUGGUGCAUGGCCGUUCUUAGUUCGUGGAGUGAUCUGUCAGGCCAAUUCCGGUAACGAACGAGACCACAGUCUCCAUUUGACGAGCUGUAGAAGACACUUGUAAUGUCAGUGGUUGGCAACAAGUACUUUCGCUAUGAGUGUUGAAGGUAAUUGCAUGAUCAAUGGGGUUUUCGGACCUCAGCGAAACGUGUAAGCUCCCUACUGCCACGCAGUACCGUCCAGCGAUGGAUGAGUGUUGCAUCAUGGAGAGACAGCGGAAAAUAUAACAAAAUCCGAGGAAGUGUGGCUAUAACAGGUCUGUGAUGCCCUUAGAUGUUCAGGGCUGCACGCGCGCUACAAUGGCAGCGACAAAAAGUAUCUGGAUCGAAAGAUCUAGGUAAUCUCGUAAUCGCUGCCGUGAUGGGGAUUGACGAUUGUAAAUUCGUCAUGAAAGAGGAAUCCCUAGUACGUGUGAUUCAUGAAAUCGCGCGGAUUUAGUCCCUGCCCUUUGUACACACCGCCCGUCGCUACUACCGAGCGAAUAGUGUCACAAUACCUUGGGAGCGGACGUCACAACUUGCUCACGCUAGAUGUGAUGCUGCGAUCAGCGUAGA